rnacentral:snRNA from 1 species
GAGCGAACCGGGAAGAGCCCAGCU